rnacentral:rRNA from 1 species
GCACCGCAACGGGAGGAUGCGUGAGGUUUAAUUGGAUUCAACGCCGGAAAACUCACCGGGGGCGACGGUUACAUGUGGGUCAAGCUGAUGACUUUACCCGAAUUUCCGAGAGGUGGUGCAUGGCCGUCGUCAGUUCGUACCGUAGGGCGUUCUCUCAAGUGAGAUAACGAACGAGACCCUCAUCCCUAAUUGCCACCUCAUGGGCGACCAUGGGAGCACAUUGGGGAGACCGCUACUGCUAAAGUAGAGGAAGGGGAGGUCAACGGUAGGUCAGUAUGCCCCGAAUCCCCCGGGCAACACGCGCGCUACAAAGGAUGGGACAAUGGGCAUCAACACCGAAAGGUGAAGGCAAACCCGAAACCCAUUCGUAGUUCGGAUUGAGGGCUGUAACCCGCCCUCAUGAAGCUGGAUUCCGUAGUAAUCGCGGGUCAACAUCCCGCGGUGAAUAUGCCCCUGCUCCUUGCACACACCGCCCGUCAAACCGCCCGAGUUGGGUCCAAAUGAGGUUCUGCCCUUGUGGUAGGCUCGAAUUUGGGUUCAGCAAGGAGGGUU